rnacentral:tRNA from 1 species
GCCUUCAUGGUGUAGUGGCCAGCACGCUCGACGUGUAUUCGAGAGGUCCGUGGUUCGAGUCCCGGCGAGGGCC